CGACACACCUUUCCUUUCCCUGGGUCCUAUUACCCCCCUAAACUAUUUUUUUCCUUAAUUCUUUGCACCUUUAACGCUGACGUGGACCAGUGCGUGCGAACACAUAUGUUAAGCGCGUAAGGAGUAAAAAAGAGAGGUUAUAACGAAUGGGAACUGACCACAUGUCACUCCCAAAGUCCAUUUGAAGACUACUUCGUCCAAAACACACUUAAUUUCAUCAACUCCAUUACAAAUUUUCACCCAUUUGCAAGAGCUAAUUUUGGUGGCAAAUUUUUCCAUUUUCGAUCGUGGUUAGGAAUGGCGAAUAGCUUGUUGAAUAAGUUGUGUAUGGAUGAAGAAGAUGCGAUGCUCAAUGUCGAAGUGCGAUGCAAACAUGGCAUUUUGCUGAAAAUGCGAGACUUCUUGUCCGACCGCAAUCCCGGAAGGAGAUUUUGGUCUUGUCCUCACUAUGGGGCCACCAAUUGCAAGUUUUUCAAAUGGAGAGAUAAGCAAAGUGUUGAUGAAAGAUCAAAGUUUAUUAUUCCAAGAUUGGUGAACAAAAUCAAAGAGUUAGAAGAAAAUUACGAGCGUGUUAGGUUGCAUUUGGCU